GACGAACGCUGGCGGCGUGCUUAACACAUGCAAGUCGAACGGAAAGGCCCUGCUUUUGUGGGGUGCUCGAGUGGCGAACGGGUGAGUAACACGUGAGUAACCUGCCCUUGACUUUGGGAUAACUUCAGGAAACUGGGGCUAAUACCGGAUAGGAGCUCCUGCUGCAUGGUGGGGGUUGGAAAGUUUCGGCGGUUGGGGAUGGACUCGCGGCUUAUCAGCUUGUUGGUGGGGGAGUGGCUUACCAAGGCUUUGACGGGUAGCCGGCAGGUGAGGGUGACCGGCCACAUGGGGACUGCGAUACGCCCCAGACUCCUACGGGAGGCAGCAGUGGGGAAUAUUGCACAAUGGGCGGAAGCCUGAUGCAGAAACGCCGCGUGCGGGAUGACGGCCUUCGGGUUGUAAACCGCUUUCGCCUGUGACGAAGCGUGAGUGACGGUAAUGGGUAAAGAAGCACCGGCUAACUACGUG
rnacentral:rRNA from 1 species